rnacentral:rRNA from 1 species
UACGUAGGGUGCGAGCGUUGUCCGGAAUUAUUGGGCGUAAAGAGCUUGUAGGCGGUUUGUCGCGUCUGCUGUGAAAAUCCGGGGCUCAACCCCGGACUUGCAGUGGGUACGGGCAGACUAGAGCGUGGUAGGGGAGACUGGAAUUCCUGGUGUAGCGGUGAAAUGCGCAGAUAUCAGGAGGAACACCGAUGGCGAAGGCAGGUCUCUGGGCAUUAACUGACGCUGAGGAGCGAAAGCAUGGGGAGCGAACAGG